CGGACGGGUGAGUAACGCGUGGAUAACCUGCCUCACACUGGGGGAUAACAGUUAGAAAUGACUGCUAAUACCGCAUAAGCGCACAGUACCGCAUGGUACGGUGUGAAAAACUCCGGUGGCGUGAGAUGGAUCCGCGUCUGAUUAGCCAGUUGGCGGGGUAACGGCCCACCAAAGCGACGAUCAGUAGCCGACCUGAGAGGGUGACCGGCCACAUUGGGACUGAGACACGGCCCAA
rnacentral:rRNA from 1 species